UACGGAGGGGGCUAGCGUUGUUCGGAAUUACUGGGCGUAAAGCGCACCGUAGGCGGCUUUGCAAGUCAGAGGUGAAAGCCCGGGGCUCAACCCCGGAAUUGCCUUUGAGACUGCAUCGCUAGAAUUGUGGAGAGGUAAGUGGAAUUCGAGUGUAGAGGUGAAAUUCGUAGAUAUUCGGAAAGAACACCAGUGCGAAGGCGACUUACUGGACACAUAUUGACGCUGAGUGCGA
rnacentral:rRNA from 1 species